GACGAACGCUGGCGGCGUGCUUAACACAUGCAAGUCGAACGGAAAGGCCCUGCUUUUGUGGGGUGCUCGAGUGGCGAACGGGUGAGUAACACGUGAGUAACCUGCCCUUGACUUUGGGAUAACUUCAGGAAACUGGGGCUAAUACCGGAUAGGAGCUCCUGCUGCAUGGUGGGGGUUGGAAAGUUUCGGCGGUUGGGGAUGGACUCGCGGCUUAUCAGCUUGUUGGUGGGGUAGUGGCUUACCAAGGCUUUGACGGGUAGCCGGCCUGAGAGGGUGACCGGCGACAUUGGGACUGCGAGACGGCCCAGACUCCUACGGGGGGCAGCAGUGGGGAAUAUUGCACAAUGGGCGGAAGCCUGAUGCAGCAACGCCGCGUGCGGGAUGACGGCCUUCGGGUUGUAAACCGCUUUCGCCUGUGACGAAGCGUGAGUGACGGUAAUGGGUGAAGAAGCACCGGCUAACUACGUG
rnacentral:rRNA from 1 species